CCGUACUCCCCUUCAUUUCUAGGGUUAGCAAAGUUUAGACUAAAUUCUCGAGAGAGCUUUGCUCAUCUACCUCUUCUUUGGAGAUCAAGACCUCCAAUUUGGAGAAGAAUCCUCUUGGAUUAUCAAGACCUCCAUAUCCUUCUGAUUGGGGAAGAACUAUUUCUCAAGACCUCCAUAUCCUUUGGAUUGGGGAAGAACUAUCUCUCAGGACCUCCAUAUCCUUUGGAUUGGGUAAGAACUAUCUCUCAACACCUCCAAUUCCUCUUGGAUUUGGGGACGAACUCCUACCCUAGUUAUCUUUUACCUUGUUGAUGUUUGGAUCUUGAGAUGUAUCCUUGUUUGUACUUGUGAUUUGAGUACUUGUGUAUGAAUCUUUGUCCAUGUGAGUGAUUUCCACUUGAGUGUUGUGCUUGAUCGUCGUGUUCUUCGUGUUUCACCUCAAAUCCACCUCCAAUUCGUGAAGAUCGGGGCAAUCCAAUGGCUUGCCCCGUAUCAUUUGGUAUCAUGAGCAAGGCCUCCACGAAUUGGAUCCCUCCCCCCUCAUAUUUCUAGCCUAAUUUUGUUUUGUUCUUGCCAAUUUCAAAAAUCCCCACAUAAAUAGCCUCGCUCGAUUUCGAGAUAUUAGUUGUUUCUAGUGAGAUUUUGUUGGAUCUGACCCAUGGCAGGGUGGAGGCUCUCUUAUCCAAUUAUUAUCCUAAAUAGGUUUGCUUUUUUUUACUCGUCUACUCUAUUAAUGCAGAAAUAAGUAAAAAAGUAUAAUUAGAUCUAUCUCGAAUUUUUGAGAACCCUUUGAGAAGGCGUUCAAGGGGUUCUCAAAUAAAACAUAAAAGUAAAAACCUUCUGGUGAGUCUGAUCUACCUUUGAUUUGCGUCCACUGGGCCAAUUUUGCCCUAAUUUUUCUUUUCCCUACCUCCAAUUUCUCUCGAGUUGACCCACACCUGCCUGGGCAAAGUCAGACUACUGUGUAUCCAACUUUGUCCAACAGCCCACAUCUCCAGCAUCUUCGCCAGCUCUGACCUAGGACUUCAUCGACAAGAUCGACAAGUACCACUACACCGCCUUCAUCGACCAACAAGCUUGCCUUCAAUGAGGAUCCAUCCAUCCUUUUGACACCGGCACCGGAAGCAAGGCUGGUCCUUCUAAUUGUGUGAAGGUAGAGGCGUCGACCAAGUAUACCAUUCCCUCACACAAACUUUACCUUCACUGCCAUUACCCUUUGUGAGCCAUCCAUUCCUUUGCAAAAACCUUGAUCCUACCGAGACUAGUUCAUCAAGUAUUGUCGGGCAUCGAUCACUUGUCUUCCUUAGUCACUGUCGAUCUCAUUGAUCUUUCGGUACCUUGUGCGGUCUGUUUUGGAUCCUCACAUUAUCUCGAUAGCUAUACUCUCAUGAUUUUGAUCUUGGCUCAAAGAGAAAAGGCAAAAGGAAGAAAAAGAAACAUCAAAUAAAUUGUACGCAAAAAGGUGCAAAGAGCAAAAUACGAUUGCCAAGGAUACUUAUAGGAAAACGUCAAGCUUUGAUAGUAGUAGAGUGGUAGUCAAGUGAUCGAAUCCUUGCCCUCUACGUGCAAUCGAGCAAGUCUCCCCUCGAGUUUGUGCAACAUGAGCUUAGUCUUCGCUAGGCCAACAUUGUAUGCUCAUUUACUUGGUUGCACAAGCCCCAUCAUCUUUGCGUGUGCACUUUUUUUUUUCAUUUUGCCUUUCUAUCCUUACAAUUGAGAUCGCUUGCAUAGCAUUUUGAGUUCAUUGUGGUUCACUUCCAACUUUUACAAAAUCUUGAACUUCAACUUGCUUGACUUCGUGCCACCAAUCCCUGUCAAGCUCCCCUAUAAACCUUUGUGUGUAGGUGUGAGAUUGGUCAAGGCUAGAUACCAAGUUAUUCACUUUUGCAUUGGCAUGUGUGACAUCAUGUGAUCCUUCACCAACAUCAAAAGGAGGUGACUUUGGUAUUGUUCAUCUCCAUUCCUACUCACACUUUGCCGAGUAAGAUGGAUAGGGAAGGUACUUCUUGUCUGGUUUUCGACAACUAAGAGGGCCCACACGACUUCCUCACCAAGUCUCACCACUUCAGACUCCAAAGGGUUACAAACGAUGCAAAUAUCAUCUUAAAUGAGCGCAUCGAGAACCUCUCCACUGACAUGCGCCAAUCCGAUGUCCGCAUGAGGGACUACCUCGUCGCCAAGAUGGACGUGCAAAUGGACCGCAUUCAAGAAAUGUUCAACAAUCGCAAAUUGUCCUCAUCUUCAAGAUGGCACUCAAGUGCAAGUACCUCCGGGAUGCCAUCCGGGCGCAAGUACCACCACUCUCGACGACAUCACCACCAUGAAGAACACGAGUAUCAAGGGCCGCGACAAACUCAUAGUGGCAAUGGCCUUCAAAACCGCAUUCUUGACCGUGAGCAUCAAGAACGACAAACACAAGAGGAACGUGCAACAAUGAGCGCCACCAUCAAGAUGAAGAUGAGUGCAAUGUUCGUCGCCAAGAAGAAGCUCGCCGUCAAGAGCAAGCAAAUCAAGCACAUGAAUCCCUCUGUGUACAACUACAUCUUUAUGAAGAACAUGCCAGGAAAGCACGAGUGGAAAGAACUUACAGGCAUCAUCUUGUUUGGGAGCUGGAAAUUCUCGCUUCCAGUAAAUGUCCCUCCAUUGAUCCUCUCGUUAACUGAAGUUUCUCCUAAAGGCCCAAGAGUUCCGAGAAAUUGUUAGCACAACACAGUUAACAAGAAGCUCUCUUUCAAAAUGAACCGGAGGAGAUAAAACACUCACCAAACUUAUCAGGAGGUGCCACCACCAUGCCUUUCAGUAGCAAAGAUAACUGAAACACGAGAUAGUAAACAAAUCUUCAGAUUUAUAUCAAGCUGUUUUUUCCUGGGUACUAUAUUCAGUGAAAAGUUCAGCAAUAUAUGUCUCAUUCACAUACAAUGAAGAAAAGGUAUUGCACCAUUACAUUAAUUAAAAUGUGCUGCAACCUAGAAGUAUAGCCAUAUGUUUAAAAUAACAUUUAAAGAUUAUUUGUUGUCCUUGUAAUACAUGGAAAAUGCUUCAUUUAAAUAAUGUAAGACACUGUCGGAAUCUAGCUAGAGUAGUAGCACCUUUGUCAAAAAUGAAUCAUGGAACAGGCGAGCUUUCUCCUUUAGUUUUGCUUCGUCCAAAUCACUGUCCAGAUACAGAAUGCCAUUAGCAGGAUAGCAGGCUUCUUCAAUGAAAAGCUUGGCUACAAAGCACAUGAGGACAGAACGAACAGACCGCCUUAGCUUUCCUUCCUUCAUAAACUUAUUACUUCAGAUAACCUGUUCUGCUAUAUGGAAGUGAGACUAGAACAUAGUUUUUGUUCCUCUUUUCUUUACUAACAGUAUAAACAUACUCCAAGACAGACAAAUUUAUCAUUUUCAGGAAAUAUUGGAGGCAUUACACUGAAUUGCUGGUGCAGCAGUUAUGCAUACAAAGCAAAGCUGGCUUGCGAUUAUCAGAGAAGAAAAAAGUUCUUUUCAAAAGUGCAGAGGAAAAUAGUUCAUUCACCAACUCAUCCAAAUAGUUGUAUAAGAUAAGCUUCGAACUCCAACAGGGUAGCAUUGUACUCUAGGAAAUUGAUCACAAGUGGUGUUAGGGGAAAUAAAUCUAGAUUAUAGGGCCACUUAAGUGCACUAAACUAUAUAUAUACUUGCUGAAAAUCAAGUAAGUUAUCACCUGAUUUCUUGUGUGACUUUGCGCAACUUCCUCGAUGCAGCGCGAUGUUCCUUCUCAAGAAGUGGAAUAAUCGACGGAACACUCUCUAUGUACCUUGUUCAUAUUAAUUUGAAUGAAUCCACAGAUACAAAGAAUGAUGAAAAACUAUAUGCUCUGGCCUCUGGCUCUGCAAAUAAUAUACAAGAAUACCUGUUCUGCAGCAAUUCUUCCAAAAAUAAUCUUAAGUUACUCACUCCUAUCCUGUUCUUCUCCUCCCUUGUAAGUGACCUUCCUAGCUUGUCUUCAAGAGAUGUAACAUCAUCCAAUUCUCUCAGUGAGAUCGCCUGCAGAACAUAGAAAAAAUUAGAUGCCUUUCAAGGAUCCAGUAACACAAAAGGUUCUUGAUAACUACAGAGUACGGAUAGGAGAAAAGGCAAACCAUAAUUGGCUAACAAGUGCUGACAGAGAAUAACCCUGGCAAGGAGGUGCUCCUUAACAUGGACAUUUAAUGUUCUAUAAAGCAGCUCUCUUUGCUGCUAGGUUGCAACAUUUCAUUUGUUCUUACUUGGCACUAAUCAAUGACCCGAUAGUGGUGUAACUCACCACAGCCAGAUCCUGAGGACAAUGUAUCUAUGUUUUGCAGUAGAAUCCUAUUCAUUUUUUGAACCUGUUCAUUAGUAAUACUCCCAAGACAUCUUGAUCACAGAAGUAUACAGAAAAAUGGAGGCAUACUUUAAGAAGGCACUUUAUGGGUUUUGGGAAGUUUAAACAACCAUGUAUUAUAAUAUUUAAAUGGAAGCUAUUUAAAUUAUUGGAACCAAUAAACAGACAGGUAACUCACAACUUUUACUUAUAACUUAACUCCCUGUUAACAUUUCAGAAACUAAAGUUCCCUCUGACAUGAUUCUACAUAUUUCUACUGUGUGACAUCCUUUUUUUCUGAGGGAGAGAGAGAGAGCGAGCGAGAGAGAGAGAAAGAGAAUGUGUGACAUCCUAUGCAAGGGAAUAAUGCAUAUGGAUGAGUGAGACAUUUCCAGCAUGAUCUUCGUCCAAUUGACUGUGUAGAACAAGAUUUUAUUCACACGAAAAAGGGUGGGAUCUGAUGACCAGUUGGCCUUCACAUACAUAUGAAGAAAAUUCACAGGCAACUUAAAACUAGAAUACAAACAUACCAGCAAGGACAAGCUCACAGAAAAUUCAAAGUUCACAGGAGGGAGAACAGCAAGCUCUAAAGAGAUGGAAUAGUGGCAUUACCUUCUUAAACUCUUCAUUUGAUCUGAAGACAGCUUCAUGGCAAGAACCAACUCUCCCAGAAGGCACUGAUGUGAAAAAGGGAAAAUCUCCCAAUAAGGAACCAUCUAGAACACAAGUUGGUGGGUGAAGAAACACUUCAACAUCAGAGGCACGUGCGAAUUGUGGAAUUUUCGUGUCAAGUUUUGUGGAGACUAGAACAGUCCUUACAAGAUCAGGAUCAACCUGCAGUAUCAAAACGGGAACACAAUUUAGCUGAAAGGCAGCACCUCCUCACUUAAUGAAGGAUUAUGUUAACAGAAUUGUCUGGUUGAAAAUUAGAAUUUGGGAUAGUCAGUGCAUUUUUUAUAUUUAAACAUAGUUGCCCAGUAAAAGAGUUGAAACUUGGUAAAAGCUCCAGGAGUUGUUUAGUAAAAUCCGCCUUCAUGAGACUGUAAGAGUAACGGUAAGUGCAUGUGGUUACUUGAGAGCACUGAAAUAUUUUUAUGUUCUGCUAAAGACUAGUAAUAAGGUUAGAUGGCCCCAUAGAAAGUUCUGGUUUAUUAAAGUGCCUCUGAAGACUGUAGUCUUGCAUGGUUAGCUUUUAGAGAUAGCGUCCUCACUAAGGAUAACUUUUUAAAGAGGUUGGACAGUAGCCCUAAGUUUAUGUUUUGUAUUCACAUGAAAUAGUAGAUCAUAUGACAAAUUAUUUUUUGAAUGUGCAAUAGCUAAGUAUACUUGCAGUGUAGUUAGCUGCCACAGCUCUAGCCUAUGGUAAUUCAAUAGAUGCAUUAGAGAGCAUUGCAUGUCAUCAUGUUUAAAUUUUUCCUUUAAUUGAAAAAAUGAGGAUAAUUCAGAACCACAUGAUUUAAAGAGUUAAACCCUAAAAACUGCUCAUUGUUACAAAAUUCCCUUCCAAAAACCCUAAGAUUUAGGCAUGAGUCCAUAUGUGUCAUGUGGACCCCACCCUAAAUUUAUAAGGUUUGAAAAGGGAAUGUUUGGGGGAAUUUUGAAUUAAAUCAUAUUCUAAUUUAAUUAGGUUUUAGAAAUAGAAAUAUAAACCUACUUGCAAUAGCACUGCUAUGUUUGCUCUUUAGAACCUUUGAAUAGUAUAUCUGUAUAUGUUUUAAGUGAUAGUUUAUGUUGCGUUGCUUGUUGUUUCCACACACACGGCAAGCAUGAUGCGUGUAUGUUUCUAAAGUGCACGUUGUGUGUAGGAUCUUGGAAUCUUUGAUAUACACUUGCUAGCAAUUAGUCAACACAGGGUGAAGUGAAUCAUUUAAAGUAAAGAGUUUGGGAGCUAUAUCACUCUACUCCAACUGCGCAUUCAUUUACCGGUUGUGGCUGGCUACAGGUUGAUGCUCUGGCUCAGUUAGAUUGAGUACUGGUGUUCAGAACAAGUUCCGAUACAGGCUGAUAUUGUCUGAACACUAAUAUAUCGUAUUCAGGACCAGAUCCGAUAAAGGCUGGAACAGUUCUGGUACAGGUUGUUAUUGCCUGAGUACAAAUCUCGGUUUCCUGUGUGAUGCACUGAGGCUUGACUUCUAUACCUUAGAUCUCGGGUCCUGACAUUGGCUGUGCUUUUGAUAUUACUCUCAUGCCUAAGUUCUUUUUCACUUUAUGUACUUGGGUGUAGAACUUCCCACGUCAUAGUAAACAACUAGUUACUUCAAGGGUAGCUUCUUAGGUAUGAUCAGUUUGGAAGACCAGGGACGCUGCUUGUUUUCAGAAGACUUCGCUCACAGGAUCCAAGUACUGUAAUUUUUCAAAUGGCUCGCUCAUUGUCUUCUUGGGUUGGUCUUCACAAGAAAGGACUGCGAAGCAGGGUGGCCUCUGAGGUGCUCGGCCAGAGACAGGAUGGGGUCCAAUGGUUCUCAGGCUUGAGGAUGGUUAAGAAGGUUCUGUGUUUCUGUCAGGGUGUUAGGGAGUACCAGACUUUUAGUUUGGUAGGGUGUCCUAGCACAUUGCCCGUGAGUUGCUACGAAGCCACAGAGAAGACGAGGAUUUAGGCCACCGACUACGAAUAGGGAGAUCGUCGAAAGAUAAUGGUGUCCCAGGAUCGCUGACUCGCAAUUGAAAAGAGAGCAAGAUGCAUGUCGCGAGGUGUUGAAGAUUCUAAAGCGGCCAUGGAAGGACCAUUGAAAGAUUUCAAAAUCAGACACUAUUUCGAGUUUUGAAAUGCAGGAGAAUGGGCAUUAGGUAGGAGACAUCACGAGGAUAGUGAUCCGGUAAGAAGCCAGGUCUAUCGUGCGUCAAACUACAUAAUAAUGUUAUCUCUUUCUAAUGUUAUGGUACAAAAUUUAGAGGGUUGGGCAGAGAAACUAAGAUCAAGAGCAUAGUUUUGGGCUGGAGUCUCAUUUGUGUAUUUGUUUAUUUAUGUCUUUUACAGGAUUGCUGGUCUUACAUGUGUGUAAAAAUGCAUUUGUUUAUUUGUGGCAUGUGCCACAUGUGAGUGAGAGUGCAUUUAUUUAUUUAUGUCUUCCUGGAGGUUGCUGGUCUCGUUGUUGAGCAAUACAUAUAUUUAUUUGUAACUUUUGCAAGGGUUGGUCCCACAAAUGAGUAAUAGUGGAAGAAGAGGACGAGUGAACUCAACUGACCACCAACUCCAAACUUUAUAAGUAGGAAAGACUUCCGUAUGAGAGGUAGAGCUGGUAUUCCAGUUAUCAAGUUUGUAAAGCUUAAGUCUGUACCUGCUGUUUGAUGUUUCCUGGUUGUAAUACAUAAAGUUAUCAAUGAUGCUAAGCUCGUAGGGUAGUAGAGUCUGCUGGAUAACAGGGCAUAGUUCCUUGUUAUCCCUCAUAACUAUCCAGACAUUGUUGUCUUAUCAGCUCAAGGAAAUGAGGCUGGGAGCAAUAAGCUCCUUCUUCAAAGAAAAUGAGAUACAGCUAGUGUGGAUUCAUCCAAGGAUGUUGUACAGGACCUUUCCGUGGAAAAAUUUCAAAAUAACAAACCUGCAUCACCACUCUCCUUGUAGUUGCAUUGCUCCAAUCACUACAAUCUUCAAGGCACAGAAUUAUGGUUUCUUUAUGAUGGAUUUUCGCAUGAACAAGGGCCUCAACAGCACAAGCCUGACUCUGCAGGUUGCAAGAUUACCAACGAAGGUCACUUCGUAAAUAUUAGAGUGUCGAAGAG
rnacentral:lncRNA from 1 species